AGUGAACGCUGGCGGUAGGCCUAACACAUGCAAGUCGAACGGCAGCACAGUAAGAGCUUGCUCUUACGGGUGGCGAGUGGCGGACGGGUGAGGAAUACAUCGGAAUCUACUUUUUCGUGGGGGAUAACGUAGGGAAACUUACGCUAAUACCGCAUACGACCUACGGGUGAAAGCAGGGGAUCUUCGGACCUUGCGCGAUUGAAUGAGCCGAUGUCGGAUUCGCUAGUUGGCGGGGUAAAGGCGCACCAAGGCGACGAUCCGUAGCUGGUCUGAGGGGAUGAUCCGCCGCCUGUGAGAGGGGACGCCGACCCGCCCCCGACGGGAGGCACCGGUGGGGAUUCUUGGCCAAGGGGCGGAAGCCUGUACCAGCCAAUCCGGGUGGGUGAAGAAGGCCUUCGGGGUGUAAGUCCUUUUUGUGGGGGAAAAAAAACGGCAGUUUAACCCCCCGCUUUUUGACCGUACCCGAAAAAAAAGCCCCGGCCAACUUCGUG
rnacentral:rRNA from 1 species